UGAGGAAGCACCAUCACCGGAGGUGUGGGGACGAGUUGGGUGGGGAAGCACCAUCACCAUGGACAACUUCAUCCCCUCGAGGACCAGCAUCAACCAUGGAUGGUG